rnacentral:rRNA from 1 species
GACAUAGGGGGCAAGCGUUAUCCGGAAUCACUGGGCGUAAAGAGAGCGUAGGCGGUUGUUUAAGUUAAAUGUGAAAGCCUUGGGCUCAACCCAAGAACUGCAUUUAAUACUGGACAACUUGAGUAUUGGAGAGGUAGGUGGAAUUCCUAGUGUAGCGGUAAAAUGCGUAGAUAUUAGGAGGAACAUCAGAGGCGAAGGCGGCCUACUGGACAAUAACUGACGCUGAGGCUCGAAAGCGUGGGGAUCAAAC